rnacentral:rRNA from 1 species
UGCAGUCGAACGGUGAAGCCAGCUUGCUUGGUGGAUCAGUGGCGAACGGGUGAGUAACACGUGAGCAACCUGCCCUGGACUCUGGGAUAAGCGCUGGAAACGGCGUCUAAUACUGGAUAUGAGACGUGAUCGCAUGGUCGUGUUUGGAAAGAUUUUUCGGUCUGGGAUGGGCUCGCGGCCUAUCAGCUUGUUGGUGAGGUAAUGGCUCACCAAGGCGUCGACGGGUAGCCGGCCUGAGAGGGUGACCGGCCACACUGGGACUGAGACACGGCCCAGACUCCUACGGGAGGCAGCAGUGGGGAAUAUUGCACAAUGGGCGGAAGCCUGAUGCAGCAACGCCGCGUGAGGGAUGACGGCCUUCGGGUUGUAAACCUCUUUUAGCAGGGAAGAAGCGAAAGUGACGGUACCUGCAGAAAAAGCGCCGGCUAACUACGUGCCAGCAGCCGCGGUAAUACGUAGGGCGCAAGCGUUAUCCGGAAUUAUUGGGCGUAAAGAGCUCGUAGGCGGUUUGUCGCGUCUGCUGUGAAAUCCCGAGGCUCAACCUCGGGCCUGCAGUGGGUACGGGCAGACUAGAGUGCGGUAGGGGAGAUUGGAAUUCCUGGUGUAGCGGUGGAAUGCGCAGAUAUCAGGAGGAACACCGAUGGCGAAGGCAGAUCUCUGGGCCGUAACUGACGCUGAGGAGCGAAAGGGUGGGGAGCAAACAGGCUUAGAUACCCUGGUAGUCCACCCCGUAAACGUUGGGAACUAGUUGUGGGGACCAUUCCACGGUUUCCGUGACGCAGCUAACGCAUUAAGUUCCCCGCCUGGGGAGUACGGCCGCAAGGCUAAAACUCAAAGGAAUUGACGGGGACCCGCACAAGCGGCGGAGCAUGCGGAUUAAUUCGAUGCAACGCGAAGAACCUUACCAAGGCUUGACAUAUACGAGAACGGGCCAGAAAUGGUCAACUCUUUGGACACUCGUAAACAGGUGGUGCAUGGUUGUCGUCAGCUCGUGUCGUGAGAUGUUGGGUUAAGUCCCGCAACGAGCGCAACCCUCGUUCUAUGUUGCCAGCACGUAAUGGUGGGAACUCAUGGGAUACUGCCGGGGUCAACUCGGAGGAAGGUGGGGAUGACGUCAAAUCAUCAUGCCCCUUAUGUCUUGGGCUUCACGCAUGCUACAAUGGCCGGUACAAAGGGCUGCAAUACCGUGAGGUGGAGCGAAUCCCAAAAAGCCGGUCCCAGUUCGGAUUGAGGUCUGCAACUCGACCUCAUGAAGUCGGAGUCGCUAGUAAUCGCAGAUCAGCAACGCUGCGGUGAAUACGUUCCCGGGUCUUGUACACACCGCCCGUCAAGUCAUGAAAGUCGGUAACACCUGAAGCCGGUGGCCCAACCCUUGUGGAGGAGCCGUCGAAGG